rnacentral:lncRNA from 1 species
UAAAAAUAAUAAAAAUAAGUUAACGACGAACAGUAACAUAUUUAUUUAUUUUGGUAACAAAAAGGUGUUGCUUAGUUAGAUCUCAGAAAAGGGUGGGUCGUUAGCGAGUAGUGCGUUGUUCGCACGCUGUGAAGAGACUGUUAAGAAAGCCACAGACGCUAAUCUGUUUGUGUUUCUACCCUCUGACCAGAUGGGCAA